UACAGAGGCCUCGAGCGUUAAUCGGAAUCACUGGGCUUAAAGCGUACGUAGGCGGGCGCGCAGGCAUCUUGUGAAAUCCCACGGCUCAACCGUGGAAUAGCUUGGUGAACCGCGCGUCUUGAGUCAGGUAGGGGUCGCCGGAACGAUAGGUGGAGCGGUGAAAUGCGUUGAUAUCUAUCGGAACGCCAAAGGUGAAGACAGGCGACUGGGCCUGAACUGACGCUGAGGUACGAAAGCGUGGGGAGCAAACGGG
rnacentral:rRNA from 1 species